AAAAAAAGUUUUUCUUCUAGCUUCAGAAUCCAUGUAUCAUCAUCUCCAUCAUAUUCUAUCGUCAUGCAGCCCAGCUCUGAUUUGACCCUGGAGGAGACCACACAAGGGUGUGAAAACCAAGAGGUCAAGGUAACCUUGGGACCACUUUGGAGACUGGCUUCUACACUCACCAUUCCUCCCCAGAUCUGUGGCAGAGGUGGGCCUGGGAGACCGGGGACCCCUGGAGCAGGAUAGGGCCUUGGUGGUGGCAGGGGAAGAAUCAGGGGCUGGAACCCUGCUGUGAAUGUCACACCCCCAGGAAAGGUUUCUUGGUGCUGGAAGCCCAGGAGCUGAUGCCUCCAGAUUAGACACCCUGGGGGCAGGAGGGAGGGCACGGUGCUCGGCGUCCCUCCCACAAGCACUCUGGGGUUGAGCUCCUGCCCCCUUGGCAGGUGGAUGCUGGGACUGCCCAGGCAAGAAAGAGGCCUGAGACCAGCAGGUCCUGGACCUUGGACGCCCUUCACCGCGCCCCUCUUUGAUGUUUUCCAUGGAGGGCAGGUGUGAGCAGAGCAGGGCUCUGCCUACAUUGGGCCCCACCAUCCCCUCACCCCUGCCUCAUCCUGUGAGGCCAUCAGGCACAUGAACAGCAGGGCUGCUUCUCCUGAAGCAGCCCUGGAGACGGGGAGGGAAGAUGGGAGCUAAAGCACUCACUCACCACCUCGAGUCCAAGAAGGCUCUGGCUGCUGUGAAGGCUUGCCUUUCUGGGGUUUGCAGACUGAACACCCCCUCAACCCUUCACAUAUCGCACUGGAGCCACAACAUGGGUGGGCACUCUUGAUUAUCCAAAGCAGUAGCAAAGGCCUCCUUUUCCCACCACUCACUCAUGUUCACUGUCUCUAGGGUGGUGCCAGACCUUGUGCCAGGGGCCGGAGACCCAGAUGACGCUGCUGUGGCCCCUGUGCCUGAGUUGCUCCAGGAGGUGUAAAGAUGUGAAAACAGGCUCUCCCAGGGAUUGCAGUGCCAGGCUCCACCACAAGGGGAUGCUGUGCCCUGGGGCCAUGACCACUGUCCGGCAGUUGGAGGAACAAGAAGCCAGGACGUUAGGGUCGAGCUUGGUAAGGCAGGGGGACCCAGACGGAACAGCAAAGGCGCAGAGGGCCUAGAGGGCAGCGUAGCUGGAAUGGAGAAGCAAGGUGGGAGAGGGAGGAAAUGGAAGGGGCUGGUAGAAAUGAGGCUGAAAUGCAAGGUGGGUUCUCAGGCCAGCUGGGGGCCUCACAGUCUGCUACAGACCAUGGGGAGUGAAGGAAGACUUCAUGCAGGAGACCAAACUUAGCAUCUGAAUGGUGAGUCUGGGUUAUUGAAUAUGGCCAAUAGGAGGAGGAAAGGGGGCAGCCAGGAUCCUGGCCUCAUUUCUCAGGAGAGAUGACCCUGGCCAACUCAAGGGUCUUCACAGUGCAGUCAGGAAUGGCGGGGGGCAUCACAGAUGUAGAGGACUGGCUGGCGUCCCACCUUCCGAUCCAUGAAUGUGCCCUUCCCCCAGCCAGGGCAUAAUUCCUCGUGGGAGCAGCUCUGGCUGCAUCUUGGCAGGGUUCUUACCCCAGCACGUGAGACUCCCCUGGAGAGUGGGGAGAGUUACCUGUGCCAGGACUCUACCCCAAAGAGUCUGAUUCAACUCAUCUUGGCUUCAGUAUAGUUUUUAAAGCUCCCCAACCCGCUCUUAAAAAGUAAUAAAAAGGGGACUUCCCUGGCAGUCCAGUGGUUAAAGACCCCAUGCUUCCAAUUCAGGGAUGCAGGGGGUGAGGGUUCGAUACCUGGUCAGGGAACUAGGAUUCCACAUGCUGUGUGGUGUGGCAUAAAAUAAAUAAAUAGAAGUUUUUUAAAGAGUAAUAAAAAGAAUGCAGGGCCACAGAAGGAAAGAGCACACUCUGUAGUCACUUUGCCUCCCCCUGGUUUUAUUCAGCUGGUGGGGAAGCAGGGGCUCAUGAUGGUGAAAACUAGCUCUCCAAAGGGAGUGUGGGAUGAGAUCGUGGUGACGGUUGCACCACACAGAUAAUAGGCUAAAACCACUGAAUUGUACAUUUUAAAAUGGUUUUACGGUGUAUGACUCACAUCUCAAUUUUUUUUUAAAAAAUGAAUGUGGUAGAGAAGGCAAGAGGUGUGAAUGCAUAGCAGGAAGGACGGCCAAGAAAAUGUGAGUUAUUCUAACAUCCCUUGAUGGUUAAAGAAAGUUCCUAUAAACACAGUGGAGGGUAGCAUAAAGGAGUAGGAAGACCACAGAGGUCUUCACCUUGCAAAAGUUGGUCUUGGAGCAUCUCGUUUGAGAUGUUUCCCAGGAGCUGUCCACCUGAGCUGGACCAGCAGGAAGCCCUGGCAGCCAUCAGCUGGACCGCAGCCCAUCUCCCCACACUAAUAAGCCCCGGGCACUGAGAGGGUCCUCAGUACAGAGAGCUGAGGAGAAGUGAGCAGAGACCCCCUAACAGGCCUGUAGGUAGCAGCCCGAGUUGUAUUCCGGGAAAUAGAUAGUGUCUAGGAACUCAGUAUUACAGUGUGUUGUGGAUUCCACAAUACAGGUGUCAAAACUUAAAAUUUAAAUGAAGGACCCAGCAAUCCCAAUCCGAAGUAUCUACCCAAGAAAACUGAAAACGUUCACCCAUAAACUUGUAUGGGAAUGUUCCCAAAAAAUCAAACUCUGGGCUAACGUAAAACGUGUACAUGAAUGUUGUGGCAUUAUCCACAGUAACCCAAAAGUGGAACCAACCCAAAUAUCCAUCAACUGAUGACUGAAUAAACAAAAUGUUUAUCAGGAACAAAACAAAACCACCCCCAGAUGAUUCUGUUACACAGCCGAGGUUGAGAAGGCCAGGGUUAAGGGGUAGAAUCUGCCUAAAGGAAUCCCGAAGUCCCCAUGGAGAACACCGCCUCCUUCGGCUGCUCUGUGGGGCGGUGGCCUCAUCCUGCUUUCCUCCAUUCUGCGGCCAGACUGAUCAGGGGCAGUCAGCCCCAGUGUACCUGCUAGGAUGAUGCAUCCCUACUGCCGCAUCCCAAGCACUGGCAGGUCCUGGCAUACGGAGGGUGCCCCGGAGAAUGUACCCCAUCAGCCUCUGUUUCUUCUUCAACAUUCCCCCACUGGAAUGAAGGUCAACUGCAGCUAUGGAACAGCUUAAGGCUGUCUUUUUGUUUUGCGGAUGGUUUCCUUUGCUGUGCAAAAGCUUUCAAGUCUGAUGAGGUCUCGUUUGUCAAACGGCAUUUUCUGAUGGGCAUGGCUUCAUGUCCUCUACUCUCUGGUCUCCUGGCACUUGUGCUGCCACCAGGCUACCAGAGCGAUGGCAAGACUAAGCUACUCUGCUCUCCAGCCCCGUGGGCCAUCCCCGCCCCCACCAGCUACAUCCCACCUGUUUGCCUCCCUGGCAAGACAGUGGACUCCUGGUUUGAGGAGGUGACCACGGUAUCUGGAUUUAUCCUUCUAAAUGUGACUGCUGAGCACGCACCUCAGUGUGGCCCCAAAUCUGAGAAACUACCUCUUAGAAGGACUCCAAACAUUGUCCCAGCUCAAGCUUAAUCUGGCCUGCGGUUGCUCCAGGUUACAUAGCAAGGUUCGUGUGGAAGAAAGGCCGGGAUUUCUCGAUCGGCGCAACGUGAGAGCCACGUGGCUACGAUAUAAGAUGACACUCAGUAGAAAAGAAGAAAAGAGAUUGUAGGCGCAGAAAGCUGGCGUGAGUGUCGUGUCUUCUUAGGGAGCACUUUCUAAGACAGCACCUGCACCACCUCCUCCUCGGCCCCUGCCAGGACGCUGAUGCUGCCCUUCUGACCGGAUCCGAAUCCUGCCAUCCCUCCCCAGCGGCAGCGCGCAGCGGGGCAGCUGGAGAGGGGUCUGUAACAGCCUGCGGGGUUUACCGAGCUUCAGAGGGAAAGGCCUCGUCCAGAUGGCCCACCCUAAAAGCCCAGAGGCAGCAGCGUCAACCGUUCAGAGACAAGUCCAUUAGGGUCUCCCGGCCACAAGGCAAACGGAUGCUAGUAACCAAGUCGUGCUACUCACCUGUCCCUAAACAAACGCCUUCAGCAAAACCUGUUACAGAAAUCACUGAACAAACAUGCAGCGUUGCCCUCAGCUCAUCGCAAAGGCCCAGAGCUGCAGAAAGCGUUCCAGGCUGGCCACAGAAGCAGAAGAAAACAUGCUGCCUGGGGUUACCAGGCCAGGCGAGCUCCUAGCAACCUCCCCGGGCCACGAGAGCACCUUUAUUGACCUGCCCCAGGAAAGGGCCACUCUGCACACUGACCUCAGCCAAGCUGUCCCACUUAGGCACCUCUGUCCUGUUCCCCGAGGGCUGUGACCAUCAGAACCCAAAGCAGAGCCUCGCCUUGGCCGACUCGCCGGGACGACGGUCACGGCUGGCGCUGGCCCCAGGGGCCUCCCUGGGGAGCAGCGGGUGGCUCCCGGGGCCCCAGCCCCACCGCCAGCUGCCUCUCGGAGCCAGCCUCUGAACUGAGGUGUCCAAGAGAACACUGCCCCUCAGCCAUGUUUUCUUUGUGGCCUCAUCAGGGUCAGAAGGAGUUUCUAAUCUAAAUCAAUUCACACUCACCUUGUUGCAAAGGCAAACAGUCCAGAAAACGAAGCAUAUUUGGCCUGGGUGACUGAAAAGUGAGCGGAAUCGGUGUAGGAGCAGCUCUCUGCCCGAGGACAGGUCCCCAAGACACACACCCACCAGGUGAAGGGCACGGGAAGGCAGAGGAAGAGCUCUGGGCCAGCUGUGAUCCGGCCACCGGACUUGCCGCACCCGAGACGCCCUGCCCGGCACCCUGAAGCCAGGCCACACCCCGGGGGGAGAGGCCCAGCCUUCGAGGAGGCCCAGCCCCUGCGGCGCGCCCUCCCCUGGGGCGUCCGAACUGCCGGGGCCUGCGGCUCCUGAAGCAGCCAGGUGUGUGACCUUAAAGAAAUCACUGAACCUCUCUGAGAUCUGAGCAUCAAUGUGAAGGAGGAAAACAUCCUGGACAGCUUCCCGAAGGAGAGGUUUCAAUCAGGUGACUCAGAUGUCACUUCCUAGGCCUACAAAUCAUCAGAAAAGCCCAGGCUCUGUAAUGAGACAACAGAACAGACUGGAGAAAGGUCCAACUACCCAACAAGAGACUAACCUUUAAGGAAUCCAACCUAGUUGAUCGAAAACCUGGUUCCUGUCACCACCACUCUCCCAGAGCCCAGCCUCGCAUCUCGGAGCCGCAUGGACCUCAGCGCCAUCCUCCCAACCCCGACCGAAAGGUGACACAGGGGCGAAGGAGCUCCACAGACACACAGGGGAGACAGUGGUGUGUGGCAUGACAGUAGCUGUCAUGGGAACAGACAGAGUGCCCUUUCCCUGAUGGCAUGGAGGCCGGGAACGACACUUCAGAGGGACGUUCAGUGCAAGGGUCCGGCUUGAACAAUGGGGCGUCCACCCCCAGGCCUGCCACUCCACCACAGAGGCCAAGCCUGGCCUGGCCACUUGGACAACGAAAACGCUCUCAAACCUGAUUUCACAGCUGAUCUUCACUCUAAUUGGGAGGAUAUGACGGCAGGUGGGGAGCCCCUAGUCACAACGGUCAUUCAUUCAAAACCCACUUGCUUGGCCAUUUCCCCAGCUGCCCCUCAAAAGGAAGUCCCUUGCGGGGGUGGGGGUGGGGGGUGUUAAAGAGAGGGCUGCGAGAAGCUCCCAAGAGAACGAGCAGGGUUCUAACUGCUCCGGAUUCCCUGAGCUGCCGGCCACUGUCCACCCGCCACCAUGCCUUUCCUCACCCGGCCUGGGGUCCCCAGGGAACAAGCGGGUCAGCACCAGGCUGGGAACAACUCUGGGCCACAGUCAUUUUUUUUCCAAAAAGUUUAAAGUCUCCCUUUUGACGUGUUCUGUUAGAGAAAGCAUCGGAGUCAGGGCCUGCCGAGCUCAGGGGAGCCAGGAGAGCCAGCAGCCAAGGGGAGGGCUGAGAGAAAGAGCCCCUAAAAUACCAAAAGUCACUUGCAAAUGGAGACAGCUGGAGGGUAACAAUCCCUAAGAUGACUCCAAAGGAAUAAAGGGGCUUACUGAUCCGAGAUGACGCGAGGCUGCUGGCCUGGCCUGGCGUCUGCUGCCUGGCUCUCACAGCCUCUCUACCCAACUGGGCUCUGGCACAGGGCCCUCGGCAAAGGCUGAGAAACGCUCCAGCAAAGAGCCGUUGGAAACGCACCACUGUUGUCACGGACAGGAUGAGGCUCGGACCACAUAAAGAAUCAUGGAUGCGGUGGGCUGCUUCCAAAACAAAUGACCCGUCUGUGCUAGUCACACCAUGGAUAAUCUGCGCCCUUGUGUGUGGGAGUCAGGCCUACGGACUUGCUUCUAAAGAACAGAAUUCCAGCAAACGUGAGCAGAAAGCGCUGCCAAGAUGAACUUACAAAGCACUGGCUUCCAUCUCACCGACGCACUGUCUCGCCCUCAUUGGCUCACUCGGCCGAAGCCACGCUGUGAGCCACCACUUGGAGAAGCCUGCAUGGCAAGGAGCCGAGGAAGGCUUGGACGAGCACUGUGAGCUGGCCAAGCGCCAGCGAGGACCUGGGGCCCCAGGGCCAACAGCCCACGAGGACCUACACCCUGCUGCCAGCCACCAGAACGGGCCCGGAGGCAGGGCCUUCCCAAGGUGAACCCCAAGGUGACACCAGCCUUUGAGAGACUCAGAGCCAGAGACCCAGCUAAGCCACCCCUAGGUUCCUGACCCACAGAAACGGCUCCAAUAAGAUCGCCAAGAACCCAGCCCCUUGAAGAGGCAGCCGUAGCACAGCCCCGGGCUUCAGAGGACCUCACGGAGUCGUACCUGUGUGGAGUCCGUGACAGAGGCCAGCUGCAGGUACUCGGAGUUCCCCCACCCGAAGAGGCUGCCAUCGACCGACACAGCCAGGCAGCAGUCCCCGUAGGUGGC